GAUAGUCAAGCACACAGCAGGACAUACGGACAAGCACUGUGGGACACACAGUCAGUUUGUAGCAGGAUGUGCUGGUGCGCCAGUUGGAUGCAUAGCCCAGCAUGCGGCAGGACACACAGAUGCACACCGCAAGACGUGUAGCCAAACGAGCCAUGGGAUAUGGGAUCCAAGCAACGGGAUGCAAGUCUAAGUGCUAGACGAUUUCCAGCAGUUCCAGACUCCUUAGAGGACUUGCCCAAACUUCCUGGAGUAGUUGGCAGUGGUGGGCAAUGGUUUUGAGAAGUUCCUAGUAGUUUAAGGAGUUGUCUACUGCCUCUAUAUAAUCUCUAUAUAUGCUGGCCC
rnacentral:lncRNA from 1 species